GAUGAACGCUGGCGGCGUACCUAAUACAUGCAAGUCGAGCGAACAGACGAGGAGCUUGCUCCUCUGACGUUAGCGGCGGACGGGUGAGUAACACGUGGAUAACCUACCUAUAAGACUGGGAUAACUUCGGGAAACCGGAGCUAAUACCGGAUAAUAUAUUGAACCGCAUGGUUCAAUAGUGAAAGACGGUUUUGCUGUCACUUAUAGAUGGAUCCGCGCCGCAUUAGCUAGUUGGUAAGGUAACGGCUUACCAAGGCGACGAUGCGUAGCCGACCUGAGAGGGUGAUCGGCCACACUGGAACUGAGACACGGUCCAGACUCCUACGGGAGGCAGCAGUAGGGAAUCUUCCGCAAUGGGCGAAAGCCUGACGGAGCAACGCCGCGUGAGUGAUGAAGGUCUUCGGAUCGUAAAACUCUGUUAUUAGGGAAGAACAAAUGUGUAAGUAACUAUGCACGUCCUGACGGUACCUAAUCAGAAAGCCACGGCUAACUACGUG
rnacentral:rRNA from 1 species